UGCUAAUACCGGAUAACAACACUAGACGCAUGUCUAGAGUUUAAAAGAAUGGUUCUGCUAUCACUCUUGGAUGGACCUGCGGUGCAUUAGCUAGUUGGUAAGGUAACGGCUUACCAAGGCAAUGAUGCAUAGCCGAGUUGAGAGACUGAUCGGCCACAUUGGGACUGAGACACGGUCCAAACUCCUACGGGAGGCAGCAGUC
rnacentral:rRNA from 1 species